rnacentral:misc_RNA from 1 species
ACAAACUUGGUCAUUUAGAGGAAGUAAAAGUCGUAACAAGAUUUCCGUAGGUGAACCUGCGGAAGGAUCAUUAACGCGCCAUGGAAAUCAACCUUUAAACAGGUAUGACCUUCCACCUGGCCACCCUUGUUUAUCUUUAACCUGUUGCUUUGGUGGGCCCGCUGCAAGGCCGCUGGAGAAUGUGAAUGUUUUCUGGCCUGUGCCCACUAAAGUCCUAUUGAACUCUUUGUUGUCUUUUUGCUGUUUGAGUGUUAAAAAAGUAAAAUUUUUAAAAUUUUCAAUAACGGAUCUCUUGGUUCUGGCAUCGAUGAAGAACGCAGC